rnacentral:rRNA from 1 species
GAUGAACGCUGGCGGCGUGCCUAAUACAUGCAAGUCGAGCGACGCGGGGACGGGGGAGUAACACGUGGAUAACCUCCUAUAAGACUGGGCUAACUUCCGGAAACCGGAGCUAAACCGGAUAAUUAUAGACGGAUCCGCGAUGCAUUAGCUAGUUGGUAAGGUAACGGCUUACAAAGUCAACGAUUCAUAGCCGACCUGAGCGGGUGAUCGGCCAAACUGGAACUUAGACACGGUCCAGACUCCUACGGGAGGAAGCAGUAGGGAAUCUUCCGCAAUGGGCGAAAGCAUGACGGAGCAACGCCGCGUGAGUGAUGAAGGUCUUCGGAUCGGAAAGCUCUGUUAUUAGGGAAGCGGUACCUAAUCAGAAAGCCACGGCUAACUACGUGCCAGCAGCCGCGGUAAUAC